UUGCAGCCUAUGUUGGAUGUGCCAAUAUAUGGGAGAAUUGCAACAUUGGAGCUUUUCCGUCCUCAUGGUGAAGUACAAGAUUUCUUAUUCAUUGCAACUGAAAGAUACAAAUUUUGUGUUCUUCAGUGGGAUGCCGAGUCUUCUGAGCUUAUUACAAGGUCCAAAUGUGAAAAGAUGGAAACUUUUGUUUCAUUUUCUUAGCUAAGCCGUUCAAUGUUGUACUACUUGGGCCUAAACUUAUUGCUUUCUGCUUCUUUUAGACUAUGAGUCCAUUCAUCCUGUAGAAGACUCUUUGGUGUUUAAUAGCUUUAGAUUACAUUUUCGUUGUUGAUUUCCAACAAUAUUGAAGUUUAUGUGCUUGUAUCCACCCCAACAUGCAUCAACCUUAUGGGAACUUAGGAAUAAUGUAGAACGUGUUUUAAUUUUCA